UUUUAUCCCUCCCUCUUCCUGCAGAGCACUUUCCAGUAAGGAUGCAGUUGGAAAAUCUGCCACCUGCUGGCCAAAGGUGUCCACCCUGGAGAGCAGAGGUGACAAAUCCUGGUCCACAAAGUGCAAAGCCUGCCACAGUUUGUCUCCAGCCACAACUACUCUGAGCUCGUUCACCUGGAUCCGUGCUGCCUAAAGAGCCUGCUGCUGUGUGGAGCACCAUCAAGUACCUGCUAGCAGCGGAAGCUGAGGACCAGAACAAAGCUACAGACCAGCAGCACUUCAGUUUCCUUGUUACUGCCUCAGCAACCUGAAAAGCAGUAAGAAACAAAAUCAACUUCCUGGGUCAUGCAGCAAGGAA